AAAUCCAAAGGCGUGCUGCGGACCGAAUGAAAGUAGGGAAGUGUGUGAGCCAUGAAUCAAGAAAAGCCGCUAUUGUUUUUAAGAUACCCGUACCGUAAACCGACACAGGUGGAUGAGGAGAGAAUCCUAAGGCCGGCGGAAGAAGCAUUGUUAAGGAACUCGGCAAAAUGACCCCGUAACUUCGGGAGAAGGGGUGCCAACGAGAGUUGGCCGCAGAGAAUAGGCUCAAGCAACUGUUUAGCAAAAACACAGGUCUAUGCAAAACCGUAAGGUGAGGUAUAUGGGCUGACGCCUGCCCGGUGCUGGAAGGUUAAGAGGAGAGGUUAGCGCAAGCGAAGCUUUGAAUUUAAGCCCCAGUAAACGGCGGCCGUAACGAUAACGGUCAUAAGGUAGCGAAAUUCCUUGUCGGGUAAGUUCCGACCCGCACGAAAGGCGUAAUGAUUUGAGCGCUGUCUCGACAAUGCAUCCGGUGAAAUUGAAGUACCAGUGAAGAUGCUGGUUACCCGCGCCAGGACUGAAAGACCCCAUGGAGCUUUACUCCAGUUUGGUACUGGGGUCCGGCAGUGCAUGUACAGGAUAGGUGGGAGGCUGUGAACCUGGAACGCCAGUUUCAGGGGAGCCAUUGUUGGGAUACCACCCUUGUGCUGCUGGGCUUCUAACCAGCGGCCUUUAUCAGGCCGGGGGACAAUGCCAGACGGGGAGUUUGACUGGGGCGGUCGCCUCCGAAAGGGUAUCGGAGGCGCUCAAAGGUUCCCUCAGAAUGGUCGGAAACCAUUCGAAGAGUGCAAAGGCAGAAGGGAGCUUGACUGCGACACCGACGGGUGGAGCAGGUACGAAAGUAGGACUUAGUGAUCCGGUGGUAUUAAGUGGGAAUGCCAUCGCUCAACGGAUAAAAGCUACCCUGGGAUAACAGGCUUAUCACUCCCAAGAGUUCACAUCGACGGAGUGGUUUGGCACCUUGAUGUCGGCUCAUCGCAUCCUGGGGCUGUAGUAGGUCCCAAGGGUUGGGCUGUUCGCCCAUUAAAGCGGUACGCGAGCUGGGUUCAGAACGUCGUGAGACAGUUCGGUCCCUAUCCGGCGUGGGCGUAGGAUAUUUGAGAGGAGCUGUCCUUAGUACGAGAGGACCGGGAUGGACUGACCUCUGGUGUACCGGUUGAACCGCCAGGUUCACGGCCGGGUAGCCAAGUCGGGAAGGGAUAAACGCUGAAGGCAUCUAAGCGUGAAGCCCCCCUCAAGAUGAGAUAUCCCAUUCUUAAAGAAGUAAGACCCCUUGAAGACGACGAGGUAGAUAGGGCAGAGGUGGAAGUGCCGUAAGGCAUGGAGCUGACUGUUACUAAUCGGUCGAGGGCUUGACU
rnacentral:rRNA from 1 species